rnacentral:rRNA from 1 species
ACUACGGGGGGCUGCAGUGGGGAAUAUUGGGCAAUGGGCGCAAGCCUGACCCAGCAACGCCGCGUGAAGGAAGAAGGCUUUCAGGUUGUAAACUUCUUUUCUCAGGGACGAAGCAAGUGACGGUACCUGAGGACUAAGCCACGGCUAACUACGUGCCAGCAGCCGCGGUAAUACGUAGGUGGCAAGCGUUAUCCGGAUUUACUGGGUGUAAAGGGCGUGUAGGCGGGACUGCAAGUCAGAUGUGAAAACCAUGGGAUCAACCUAUGGCCUGCAUUUGAAACUGUAGUUCUGGAGUACUGGAGAGGCAGACGGAAUUCCUAGUGUAGCGGUGAAAUGCGUAGAUAUUAGGAGGAACACCAGUGGCGAAGGCGGUCUGCUGGACAGCAACUGACGCUGAGGCGCGAAAGCGUGGGGAGCAAACAGGAUUAGAUACCCGGGUAGUC